UAUAUCACAUAUACUAGAUUGGUGCGACGAGUCAAAGAAACAUGGUCUGAAAUAUUGCUGGAAGACCAGCCAGAUACAACCAUUGAAACAAUCUAUGACAUCACAGAGGGAGGGCAUGAGGUCUCCCAAAUUUAUGAACUAUUGAUGAGCAAAGUGGGAAAAGAGGUAACUCAGUUAAGACGGGAGUGGGAAGAAGAAGUGGGGGAAUGUAUGAGUGAUGGGCUGUGAGAGAGAGCUCAAGGGUAUCAAAAGAAGGUGUCAAGAAAUGCUAGGGUGCAACAAAUCCAGCUUUAAGUAACUCAUAGAGCAUACAUGACCCCCCCCCAGAGGAUAGCCCGAUUUAAAAACGCAGACAUACAAUCAUCAUCCCAAAUGUGGAGAAGUGAAUGUGUAAAUAACCCAUAUGUUCUGGCCGUAAAUUAGUAAAUUCUGGAAAGAAGUGGCCCACCACCUGACAGAAAAAGGGGAUCACGCUAGAUGUGGAGUCGGUAUGGGCAUGUAUUUGGGGAGGGUUCCCCAGACCACGCAAGCUAAAACAUGUGAGCAAAUUUAAAGGCCUGGCUUACGUAUUGGCCAAACACAGGAUUGCCAUGGGUUGGAAAGCAUGUAACAGGCCGAAGGUAGAGGCGUGGUGGAUUGACCUCAAGAGAUGGGCUGAAACCGAAACGGUGGUAUGGACGGAAGCAGCCAGUAGAGUGGGGGAGGAAGAGACAGACACAUUGAUGGCCUGGAGGCAUUUAGUGGCCACGUUGUUUGGAUCCUCCCUAGUAUGCCUAAGAGGGGAUGAUACCUCGCAGGGUACAGAAGGAGGGACACCCCGAGGGGAUGUAACCGCGGAAGGCGAAACAGAGUAAGCUUAAGUUAAGGGGGGAGGGUAAAAGGAUAAGCAGCGGUUACAGUUCAACAAGAUAUGUAACAUUCAAUAAUGUAUACCAUGUACCACUACAGUUUGUUUUUGUAUGUUGAUUGGUUGUUAUAAAAAAUCAAUAAAAACUGUUUAAAAAAACCCAAACUAUUCUCAAACUUUAAAUGGGUAAGAAGCCCGGCUCCCUGGCGUGGAGCCGGGCAUCGAAUGCAAGUGCCCAGUGGGCCACUUUUGGUUAGCAGAACUGACACUGUGGGAUGAACUGAAUGCUGGGUUAAGGCUCCCGAUGCCGACGCUCAUCAGACCCCAGCAAAUGUGUUUGUUGAUAUAGGCAGCAGGACGGUGACCAUGGAAUCCGCUAGGGAGUGUGUAACAACUCGCCUGCCGAAUCAACUAGCCCUGAAAAUGGAUGGCGCUGUAGUAUCUGGCCCAUACCUGGCCAGUGCUGAGAGCCGCGGGGGCUAAGCCGUUACGAGUAGGAGGACGCUGCAGUGCGCAUGGAAGGCCCGGGCCAGGGCCCGGGUGGAGCCGCCGCAGGUGCAGAUCUUGGUGGUAGAAGCACAUAUUCAAACAAGAACUUUGAAGGCCGAAGUGAAGAUGGGUCAGUCGGUCCUAAGAAAUGGUUGAGCUCCGUUCGGAACGGACGGGCGAUGGCCUCUGUUGCCCUCAGCCGAUCGAAAGGGAGUCAGGGUCAGAUCCUCGAAUCCGGAAUGGUGUAGACGGGUGCCCUUGCGGCUUCUAGUGUGGUAGGGCAAAUGAUCCCAGAGACGCUGGCGGGAUCCCCGGGGAGAGUUCUGUGGCUCAGUGGACUAAUGCAUCCACUACAGGGAUCUGUUUCACCCCAUGGUCACAGGUUCAAAUCCCAGCAGAUCCACUCGGCCCUUCAUCCUUCCGAGGUCGAUAAAAUGUGUACCUGUUAUGUUAAGGGCAGGGCACCCUGGAAUGGGUUCGCCCCGAGAGAGGGGCCCGAGCCUUGGAAAGCGUUGCGGUGUCCGGUGAGCUCUCGCUGGUCCUGGAAAAUCCAGGGGAGAUGGUGUAAAUCUCGCAUCGGGCCAUAGCCAUAGCCGCAGCAGUUCUCCAAAGUCGGAUCCGUAACUUUGGGAAGGGCUGAGUCGGUCGGGCUGGGGUACAAAGCGGGGCUGUCAACACACCGCUGCUAGACGAGGCGUCUCCCCCUGGGGGCAGCGCCGACUCUGGGUGUGAGCUGGGCCCUUCCUGUGGAUUGGACCAGCUGUGAUGGUCGCCUCUCUCUGUUCCCAUCCCGGGUUUCGGGGCCGGCAUUCUGCCGAUGCCUAGCAGCUCACUUAGAAUUGGUGCUAACCAGGGGAAUCCAACUGUUCAAUUAAAACAAAGCAUUGUGUAAGGCCCACGGUGGGUGUUGAUGCAAUGUGAUUUCUGCCUAGUGCUCUGAAUGUCAAAGGGAAGAAAUUCAAGGAAGCACGGGUAAACAGCGAGAGUAACUAUGACUCUCUUAAGGUAUCCAAAUGCCUCCUCAUCUAAUUAUUGACGCGCAUGAAUGGAUGAACGAGAUUCCCACUGUGCCUAACUACUAUCUAGCGAAACCACAGCCAAGGGAACAGGCUUGGCAGAAUCAGCAGGGACAGAAGACCCAGAUGAGAUUCACUCUAGUCUUGCACUGUGAAGAGACAUGAGAGGUGUAGUAUACGUGGGAGGCCAACGGGCCGCUGGUGAAAUAACACUACUCUUAUUAUUUUUUCACUUAACCAGUGAGGUUGGGGCAAGCCCCGUGGGACUCGCGCUUCUGACUCCAAGCGCUGGGUGCGACUCGCUGCGGGGACAUUGGCAGGUGGGGAGUUUGACUGGUGCGGUACACCUGGCAAACCAUAACGCAGGUGUCCUAAGGCGAGUUCAGGGAGGACCGAAACCUCCCACGAAGGAGAUGAGCAAAAGCUUGCUUUAUCUCUAUUUUCAGUAUGAAUACAGACCGUGAUAGCGGGGCCUCAGUAUCCUUCUGACUUUUGGGGUUUCAUGCAGAAGGUGUCAGAAAAGUUACCACAGUGAUAACUGGCUUGUGGCGGCCAAUCUUUCAUAGCGAUGUCGCUUUUUGAUCCUUCGAUGUCAGCUCUUCCUAUCAUUGUGAAGCAGAAUUCACCAAGCGCUGGAGUGUUCCCCCACUAAUAGUGAACAUGAGCUGGGUUUAGACCGUCUUGAGACAGGUUAGUUUUACCCUACUAAUGUAUUGUUGCAAUAGUAAUCCUGCUCAGUACGAGAGGAACCAUAGGUUCAGACAAUUGGUGUAUGUGCUUGGCUGAGGAGCCAAUCGGGUAAAGCUAUCAUCUGUGGGAUUAUGGCUGAACGUUUCUAAGUGAGAAUACCCCCUAACCAUAAUGGUACCGCAGCGAUGUGGUGCCUCAGUUGGCCUAGGAUAGCCGGCCUCUGGGCCGGUGCGUAGUCCCGUUCGCCUCAGGACUCGAUUGUGAAAAGAAGGGGGGGGCACCUCUUUUGCCUGUAGUGCACUGCAUGUUCGUGGGGAACCUGGUGCUAAAUCCUUUGUAGAAGACCUGAUUCUGGGUCCGCUACCUCGCUGCGACUAUUGAAAG
rnacentral:rRNA from 1 species